AUACUCAUGUGAUCGCUGUAUAGUAUACAGAGGAAAGUCCAUGCUCACACAAACUGCGAUGUUUGUAGUGUUCGUGCUUGACGAAAUCAUAAGUCAAGGUAACCAUUUUGGUUAACGGCAGGCCAACUACCUACGUCCUGUAAUUGGAUAUGGAAGCGGCCUUGAAAGUGCCACAGUGACGAAGCUGAUUGGGAAACCUUUCAGGUGGAACGAGGUAAACCCCGCGAGUGAGCAACCCAAAUAAUGGUAGGGGCAUCUUCUAGUAGGGAACAGGAACCGAACGAAGGACAAGCUAAG
rnacentral:RNase_P_RNA from 1 species